GUAAUCGUGGAUCAGAAUGCCACGGUGAAUACGUUCCCGGGCCUUGUACACACCGCCCGUCACACCAUGGGAGUGGGUUGCAAAAGAAGUAGGUAGCUUAACCUUCGGGAGGGCGCUUACCACUUUGUGAUUCAUGACUGGGGUGAAGUCGUAACAAGGUAACCGUAGGGGAACCUGCGGUUGGAUCACCUCCUUACCUUAAAGAA
rnacentral:rRNA from 1 species